AAAAAAACCGCCCGUCGCCCCGCCCACCUCUCCCCGACCCAUCCUAGAUCCGCCGACGCCGCCGCAGCACCCAAUCUCGCCGCUCCUGCUGCCCCCCAAUCCCGCUUGCCGCCGGCACAGUCCGUCGCACCCUGACGCCGGCCUCCACGAGCGGCAGGGCCGGCGCGCCAGCCUCGCGCGGCGGCCGCUGUGACGAACGGGGCCGGCGGCCUCCCGCGGCGGCGACGGCCGACGGGGCUGCGGCCUCCCGCGGCGGCGACGGGACGGCAGCCUCCCGUGGCGGCGACGAGCGACGGGCCGACGUCCGCGAGUGCGCGGCGUCGAGCUCUGAAAACGGAGGCCGCUUACGGUGGAUUUGGGGGCGAACAGUGACCGCAACGGACUUCUGUGGGCGGCCGACGGAGAGGCAUCCGAUUCGUUUUCGGCGGCCUGGAAUCGUCGCAUGUCACGGCUUGACAUGCCGUGGGCAAGUCACGCAAUCUGAGUCCUUCCCCUUCUAGCCCGAUUUGAUUCCGUUUCUUGCGUCGAUGAUCCUGUAGCAUCUGAUUUUUGAUCUAGAUACACUGACUGAACAACGAGUUUUCAGGAAGUUAAGAGUUUUUGUUGAUCAUUGUGGCCUUUAGAUUCCAUUGAUGUAACUUGAGAACAGAUAUGAUCAGAUCCCUAAUUUAACCUGUUGAUGAGCUGUUUUUGCUUUCUGUGUUGUCAUCAGUAUCUGAAUGAUGUACUUGAAGCUUCAGUCUUGUUAGUACUGAUUUAUGAUGACUAGCUGCACUGAAGGAUGCUUUGCUGAGUUUAAUAGGCAUUUAUCAAGGAGGCGUGUGGAAGGUUAGAGUAGAACUGCCAGAUGCAUAUCCAUGCAAAUCCCCGUCAAUUGGUUUGUCGAUGAAAUGUGAGUACCUCUGAACUCAAAGAGUUGUUACUUUGUCUAUUCAAACCAUGAUAACAAUUUAGUUUCUAACCACUUCUGGAUGGAUGCAAACGGUAGGCCUGGUUCAGUUUGUUUCGAUGUCAUCAACCAAACAUGGAGCCCAAUGUUUGAUCUUGUCAAUGUGUUUGAGGUCUUCCUCCCACAACUUCUACUAUAUCCGAAUCCUUCUGAUCCAUUGAAUGGAGAUGCUGCUGCAUUGAUGAUGCGUGAUCGUCCUUCUUAUGAACCCAAAGUGAAAGGUAACCAGAUUAAGCAUUGUCCUGGCAGGAUUGCAAUCUAGAGGAUGCAACGGAAUUGUCUUUGAAAGGAGAGCUUGAUGUCUUCGCUGCUAAUUUGCCCGCUUCACCUGGUUUCGCUCCAUAGAGUUAUGUCGAGUUGUCUGAACAGUGGAAAGCUUCACGCUUACCAACUGAACCUGUGGACCUUAUUAUUGGCAUCUUUUCAGCUACGGAAGCCUGGAGAUUUCGUAAUAAACUUCUACGUUAUUAAGCAGUUUUAAUUAAGUAUUGGUUGCUUUAGGCCGAGAACCAGACUUCUACAUCUUAUUAAGCGGUUGAAGUCACUUGAGAGAUGGCAUCAGUUCACUGGGGUCACUUGCAAAGGACAUAUUUACUUAUCCUUUUGCUCCUUUUUAUACCCAGAAUAAGUUUAUCCUAAAUUUGAUAUUUGUUAGUCAAGGUUUGGAGGGUUUUCAUUUACUCACUUUGUAAAAUCCAGCAUUAGGAAAUAAAAGUUCGAUACUCUGUGUAAAGCUUGUACUGGAUAGUAAGUAUUGGGAGAGAAGAUAAAUUAUUCUCCGGUAAA